rnacentral:rRNA from 1 species
UACGGAGGGUGCAAGCGUUAUCCGGAUUCACUGGGUUUAAAGGGAGCGUAGGUGGGCUGGUAAGUCAGUGGUGAAAUCCCCGAGCUUAACUUGGGAACUGCCAUUGAUACUAUCAGUCUUGAAUACUGCGGAGGUUAGCGGAAUAUGUCAUGUAGCGGUGAAAUGCUUAGAUAUGACAUAGAACACCAAUUGCGAAGGCAGCUGGCUACACAAUUAUUGACACUGAGGCUCGAAAGCGUGGGGAUCAAACAGG